GGGUAGACGGGUUACGGAGGGAGUGACCCCCCGUCUACCGCGUCGGGGCGCGAGCAAACCCCAACGCUUAGGGCCCCGGGUCCCCCACCCUCACCCCCGAGGAGCAUUCAAUCCUGGGCAGCGCCAGCUUAGGCGUGCAUUAGAACCAGGUGACAAUCAAACAAAAGGAGACUGGACUGUGGGCUCAGGCCCCACCCCGCAGGAACAGGUGACAACUGCAGGGUUUGCUAACCCCCCCCCCCCUCCUGGGAGGGGGUGAUCGUACUCAAUUGCCACCCACCAGAACCUACACACCACAAUGACUUGGUGUCUAAGAGACCCUAAGCAUUCCUCAUUUUUGCUAACACAAAGUAACACAGCUACCACUCUGAAACCUAUUAUGUUAUUUAUGUGCAAUACUGAAUGAUUACUGCUGUAAUAACUUGGUUGUCUGUCAACAGGUAGAAGCCAUCUCAGCAGUAGUUGCCACGGAGAUUGUUAGGCAGACAAAGAGAACUGAAAUCGAAAGUAAAUUUUAACAAGAUUUCAUACAUAGCAUGAGCAGAGCACCUUCUUAAGUCAGACAGUCCAAAUAACUAUGAAUUUUAAAAGACAAUGCUAGGUUUCAUGUGGAAUGCCUACAGUAAUAGUAAUCCAUGUAAAGAAAUUCAGAAAGACCGUGUAAUCUACUUGUCAUAGUUUGCUUAUCUGCCAACUUUAAUUUUGGUCCUAAUUUUUUAAAAAUAAUUACAGAGCAGAUUUCUUCAACAUGAUAUAAUAUUACUUCUUUACAACGCAACAAAUCAUUGGGUUCUUGCGGUAAGAUGCUUUCUAUUUUACUUCUGGACUAUGGUGAAUGAAAGUGGUAUUAUGUAAGAGGUUGGUAACGCAGCUGGGUGGCAGUGGUAUAAUGGCCUCUGCUGUGUAUUUUCGGUAAGUUCAGUGCAUGCUAAUGAAAGUGGAAUGUGAGUGUCGCUAUUCCGAGAGCUGUGUUUCUUAAACACCACAAGUUAAUGUGAAAUUGUAGCAAACCUUACAUGAACAAGUGCAGUUAGUAACUGUUUAAUCAUUGAAUUCACAAUAUGCUUUUCUACUUUGUGUUAGUGAUUACAAACAAUAAUAUAUGAAUGUUUGGGUUUUUUUGGCUAAGUCAGUAUGAAAUAGCUUAAAUUCUCACAUUAUCAACCUAACUUGUACAUGUAAUUAAACUUACAGAUAGCAUUGAUGGAGACACAAGAACUGUUAAUAAUUGAUCCAUUGUGUGAAGAGAUGAGCUAUGAAAGAAAAUUUCUUAGGAACUGGAGAAACUUCAUCAAAGGAGUAAAGGGCAACUCAACAUCAAAUUGGAAGAGUCAAAUUGUUAGGCAUAAUAGACAAAUUGAUGGCCACAACUGUGGACUACUCAUCUUUAAGAAAGCAUAGAAGAUUUCUGCAUAUAUUGCAAUCGGGUCAAUUGUGAAAAGCAAAGUGAGGAAUGCACGAUGGAAAGAUGUUACAGAAUUGUAUCAAACAUGUCAAUCUUUUUAAGAUUAUGGAAUUUGUUGAAAAUUACACAACAGUAAACAUUUCCAUCAUGGCUGUAGUACAGAGCUGUCACUUAUCAAAGGUCCAGUGUGAUUCCUGCAAGAGGUGGGCACAUAUGCCGUGCAUUCCAGAAGGAACCACUGAAGAAAUCAUUAAUGAUAAGACAGAAUACAAGUGCCAAAAAUGUUCAUAGUGCAGUUCUUCUUCAGAAAGUUGACAAGAAGAGUAAAUAGAUUUAGAUACCCAUGAAAUAAUAAAUUUUUAAAAAUUUGAAAAAUAGUUUUCAGUAUUUGGGUCCUUGUGUAUAAUGAAAAAUAAAAGGCAAAACACCAACAUCCCCUGAGUCCAUUAUCAAGGAGGGAACAAAGUGUGAGUGUUUAGGACUACGGAACCCCAUCCCUCAGCAUUAGAUAUCCAUGGACCA